UUAAAUAUGUCCAGAAGGAAUGAUCAUGUAUCUAAUAGACUACAUAGUUGGUUCCCUUGGGGAGUUAUAUAUCAUACAGUUACUAAAUAUUUGUCUAAAUUCAUUUUUUCCAAAAACCUGCUCUCAAAUUUUUCUUCUACUCUCAGUUCAUAAAUAAUAUAACCAUUGAAACAACACAUCAGCCUCUAGCUGAUCCUCUGAAAGUAGCCAUUGAAAUAAUCGAAUACUGUGUGAACAGGAAAGGAAAGCGUUACCUUUAAGAGAAGCUUUAAAAUAGGAAUUUAUUGAUAUUUCACAAGAUAUAGGUUUACAGAAGACAUUAUUCAAAUAAAUAUGUACACUAUUUGCCUGAUGCUAUGGGGUACAUAAUUUUUUAAAAACUCCCUUAGACCAGCAGCCAUUAGUGUAGAAAUGAUGGACUUUAAAGGUGAUACCAUGUAAGCAGAUGUUGCAUAUAAAAAUAUUCCUGCCUGAAUCUGAUCGAGAUUCUUGAAUGGGGGAGGAGUGGCAGCCGGCAGCACAUUGCAAAUGUCAUUCGAGGUCACGGUGAGGCUCUCGGUCCCGGAACAGUGGGGGCCUCGCCAGGCGUUGCCAGUAUCCCUUUCCUCCUGUAAAAUCAUAGCUUUGUGUUACACGACUGCUUAUCCAGUCUUAGGGUUUAGCAGCUGAAAGGUUUACAAAACUGAAUCUGGUUGAAUCUCUGUGAAAGGGUCAACACAUCUGUCGGCAUUUUGCACACUUAUGUAUUAUUAUGAUACAACAUAUUACUUUAUGGUAAUUUUUAUUUUUACAUAUAACUACCUCCAUAAAUUUGAUGAAAUGGCAGCCGUGUGUUAAAGUGUAUCGUUCAGAAGAGCAAAGUUGAACACUUCCUUCAACAUUAGGGCAUGGCGUGCUGUGUGUGUCAGUGAUUGCCUCUGUGGACUCAUGACUUUCCAUCGCCAUGGCUUUCUCUUACGCCGCUGUUUGGCUUUCAGAUGUAAUCCUGUCUUCUCCUCUCUUCCCCACGAAAGCGCACUCGAUUUUGUUAGGAAUGAACGGAAGUUUAAAAAUUCUUGUGCCCACCCCCGCCCUCCACCCAUUCCUGUUAAAAGUUCUCUGGCGAAGAGCCAAUGGGUGAACGUAAUUGAAAGAGCUAUUUACUCUUUUGGAAAUCUGAUUUGAAGUCUAAGUUUUCAGUAACAGAAGACACACAAGCAAUGUGGACUGCCAAGCUUGAAGCACUUCGGGCUCUGCCUUCACUCGCAUGCUACCAUGUCGAGCCCAAACUCCACUUUAAUUAAAAGAGCUGUGCUGUGAAUUCCACAACUUCUGUUAAAUAAUUUGUAUUCCAUUAUAUAUAUUUUGCACAUCUCAGGGGACCAUAAUGAACAUAUGAAAGGGGGGGGGGUGCCAUCAAAUAGAGAAAACAAAUAGAAGAGGUGAAUGGAGACUAGCUGGAUAAAAAUAACAAAUUACUUCUUCUCUGAUGUUGUGAAGGUCAGGUUCAGGAAGCAUCAAUUCACAGUUAAUCCGGAGUAACAAUGAUCUGAACACCAGCUGUUCCCAGGUCCCUCUUUUUCAUAGCCCAACCAGCAUCUAAAAUGUAAAUUUAAAUUACAUUGCAGUCACCAUGGGGAGAAGAAACCUGUUCAGUGGAAGCAGAAGCAUUGUUCCUUUUUUAGGUUGGCGCAGCUUUGCAAAACUCUACCCAGGAUAAACCACUUAUCACCACCAAGUGUACUUGAAAAUAAAGUUUUUAACUUAAAUUACAAGCAUAUUGCUCAUAAUACAAUAGUGAUCAUUUUUUGAAAGUCUUGCCAUUUAUAACAUGGGCAGUAUUUGGAGCUUCAUUUAAAAACCAACAACAACCGAUAAUGACUUUGCACGAUUCACUUUGGGAUCUCAAAGUGCUUCCAAAGCAUUCAGAUUUACAAACAAUUCACAAGACAGGUCAUCUUUGUAAUACGCAUACUUACAACGAAUUAACAAAAGGAGUGACUUAAGAUUCUCCAGGAACACAGUGGCAGCUAUUGAUGAUCUGUUUUCUAUCUGUUUGAUAGAGCAUCAUGAGAAAUCACAAAAUACAAUGCUAUUUUUCUGAUGUGUGCUAAUAAAGUCAAAGAAAACAAAUACAUCUUGACACUUUUGUCCAUUUUCAUUAAAAAAAAAAAAGUUCAGGGUGUUUGGAAUUUUACAUCUCAGCACACCUUACUGGUAUCAAUGGAUAAAGCGGGUGAUUGACAGAUCCACCCAAAUGCCACUGCAGUCAGAAGCAGAUCUGGACACACCCUUGUUUACAGUUUCAUAUUGGGUUGCUAUAGUUCCCGUGCUAAAUCACCAGCUUUCAGGAACAUGACUGCUCCUGGCAGUGGAAGGUGCUGAAACAGAAAUUUUAAUUAAAAACUUUAUCAAGUACUCUUCACAGUGCUGCUUGGCACCAUAGAAAAUCAGUACAAUAUAUCGAGCCCUACUUUGGAGGAGCUGGAUUUCUGAGGGAGCUGAUCCAGUUCUAAGUGUCUUCUCGAAUUAGGAGAUAGAUGAUCUUUGAUGGGGAUCUCCUCCGUCACCACAGGCCAGUCACAGAACCAACUAGCCACGUGCUGCCAGACCUCAGUGGGCCCAAGCAGGAGCAAUCUCUUCUAUCCCCCAUCUCCCCCAGGACCAUCCCGCCCAUUGUCAACGUCAUCCAGGGCUCUUCUGGUAGUGAGUGACUUUUCUGCACAUGUUUAGGGCUUGGGGGAGCUAGAACACAGGAAACAUGAAUGCAAAAGGCAUGGAAAACACUGUUUUGCUUUGGGUUAGUAAAAUGUGGGCAGGACAAAGAUUACUAUUGGUCUGAGCUUUGCCAAGUGAGAUAGAAUCAACUGUCACCCCAUUCCUUUCCCAGAAGGUCUUAUGGUAUUAAGGAUACAUCCAGUAUUUUCCCACAGAUUUUUAUUCAGGCGAUGUUUCAUAAAUUACAUAUAUGAAAACAUUCAUUAUUACAUUUCCUUGUGUGUUUCAAACAGACAUUGGCACCUUCCUAUUGAGUUAAUUCUCUGCAUCUUUUGCAGCAGCAGCCCACAAGGAGAUUCCCAGAGAUGGCUCCCCUAACACACAGUCCUGUGAUUUUACAGUUCUAUGACUUACAGUUGAUGAUUCACAAGAUUCAGGAUUCUACAAGACUCAAGGGGGAACUAAACUUUCUUACGAUUGUACAUGAUCAGUUAUAGGGCUGUAAUCAUUAAUUGUUGGCUUCAAAUGUGGACACACACACACACACAUCAUGCCAAGGAGGGAAUGGGGUGUUUCAAGUCAGGCAGCGAUGAUUCUGGAAGGUUGGAAAUGUAAGGUUAGAAGCUUGGCUGGUCUUAGUAAACUUGUUCCCUUGCUCCCACCAAGAAGAGGUACCAAAUGUGAGACCUGAGAUCUCCUCCAAUAUCUGUCCUCUGCAGUUCCGGGAAACUAAUCAUGAAGUACACAUGCAGCAGCUCCUCCACUUCCUUUCCUCCGAGGUCCUCCUUUCCAUUCUCCCACCUAGAUACUGACACACCGCCACGGUUUCCACAUUGGAAGGGCAGAACACUGUGCAGUAUCGUGCACACUUGCUGGGUUAGGAAUAGAGCUGCCCUAGGGUCACCUUCAUGCAAGUAUUGACAGCUACAAAUUAAAGUCCUUAGAGCAGUUGACACAGAUACUACGUUCUAGAAGAGAAUUAAAUUUAAACGUCAAGUUUAAAGGGAUCAUAAUUCUGCAGGUAUCUUUCUCUGAGUGACUGAAUGUGACUAUUGCAUUAGGGUAAAUGAAUUAAGACGUGCAAGUGGGAUUUACUGUAUGUUAGAAAGGAGUUUUGCAGCCAAGACUGCCUUGAAUAAAAUGUGUUUGCACUGAAAAAAAAUUUUAAAUUACUUGGUCUCUGGUUGCUGUAAAGGUCAUCCAAGAUGGAUGUUCUGUUUAUAUUGUAUAGUAUUUCAUAUGAAAUAAUUACAGUUCAUGAAAUGUCUUCCCUAAUGUUACUGAUUUAUAACAGCACAUUUGUAACAUGGUUUUUAUCGUGUCAGUGUACCAUACUGUAAAUGAUGAUUACUUGUCAUGCUUAGUAUAAUAACUUAAAAGAAAAAAAAGGACAGGGAUUUUUGUAAGUCUAUAUUUGAAAGUCCCUCCCUAUGGUGAUACUGUGUUCAUGUUGUUUAUGUAGUGUUGUGUGAAAUAUCCAUUUUGGAUUGUGUUACUUUUUAAGAUAUUAAAUAACAUUUGGUUA
rnacentral:lncRNA from 1 species